UUGCUAAGAGAUUUCAAGUGCAUCGAUCAUAAGAAUUAGACGAUGCAUCAAACGUUCAAUUAGUACAGUUCUUGCCACAUAAUCGAACACGGGAGAAGUGGAAGAUAAUGUUUAAAAGUCCGUCUUAAAAGUGUGUUCCUGGUGGUGUCCUAAGUGCUGAGACUACAGAGGGGCACGUGACCUUCCUGCCGGCACUGCACCCCUCUAGCGGUCAGGUGAUCUCCCUGCCAGCAGCGCACCCCUCUAGCGGUCAGGCAAAAUAAAACUACUUUAGGCAGGGCCAAGCCACAGGAGAGAGGAAAAUACUUGAUCUAGGUAGGAGUGAACGGAUGGGUACCGGGGCGUGGUCUUCAAGUGGACAUAAAGAUGUCAUGAACGGAGCCCUCUAGAGCAAUGGUUUUCAACCUGUGGGUCACAACCCCUUCUGCAAACCUCUGUCUCCAAGAAAGAUUUACACUCUGACUCAUAGCAGUAGCAAAACUACAGUUCUGAUGAAGAAUGGAUGAAGAAAGUAUGGAAUAUAUACAUAUUAGAGUACUACUCAGCAGUAAAAAACAAGGAUUUCUUGAAGUUUGCAGGCAAAUGGAUGGAAAUAGAAAACACUAUCCUGAGUGAGGCGAUGAAAGGAGACAGAGACAGAGACCCACACUGGAGCACCGGACUGAAAUCUCAAGGUCCAAAUCAGGAGCAGAAGGAGAGAGAGCACGAGCAAGGAACUCAGGACCGCGAGGGGGGCACCCACACACUGAGACAAUGGGGAUGUACUAUCGGGAACUCACCAAGGCCAGCUGGCCUGGGUCUGAAAAAGCCUAGGUUAAAACAGGUCUCGCUGAACAUAGCGGACAAUGAGGACUACUGAGACCCCAAGAACAAUGGCAAUGGGUUUUUGAUCCUACUGCACGUAUUGGUUUUGUGGGAGCCUAGGCAGUUUGGAUGCUCACCUUACUAGACCUGGAUGGAGGUGGGUGGUCCCUGAUUGCUCUUUGGGCUGACGAGGGAGGGGGACUUGAUUGGGAGAGGGGGAGGGAAAGGGGAGGCGGUGGUGGGGAAGAGACAGAAAUCUUUAAUUAAUUAAUAAAGAAAUAAAUAAAUUUAAAAAAACUACAGUUCUGAAGUAGCAAUAAAAUAAUUUGAUGGCUGGGGCCACCAUAACACGAGGAACUAAAGAGUCGCACCAUUAGGAAGUUUGAGAGCCCCUGCUCCAGAGGUUGCAGAUGUGACACAGGGUGUGUCCCUCGUUUGGGACUGUCUUAGAGAUGUCACUUUGUCCCUCAUCAUCACUGGGGUGCUACAGAGGGCAAGGCCAUCAGAAGAACCUGCGAUAUAAAAGCCCAGCCGUGAAUGAGGGCCGCAGUUGCCGCAGCCUUAUCUGCAUGCAGGGCUUCCUUUCUUCCUGGCAUCCAUCUUGUGGACAGUGCAGCUCCUCCGCACAGACAAAGCAAUGGCUGCCCAGGAAUUCUAAAUCCACACCUGGG